CUUCAGCCCCUGGCAACCACCAGUCUAUUCUCUGCUUCAACGAUUUCGACUAUUUAAGAUAAGUCAGAUGUGCCUGCUUCACCUUUGCCUUCUGCCAUGAUUGUAAGAUUCUUGAGGUCUCUGCAGCCAUGCCUAUACAGCCUGCAAAACUGCUCAUAGGUGGAAAGAACUUGCCUUGUCUCAGAUGGGACUUUGGACUGUGGACUUUUGAGUUAAUGCUGAAAUGAGUUAAGGUUUUGAGAGACUAUUGGGAAGGCAUGAUUAGUUUUGAAAUGUGAGGACAUGAGAUUUGAGAGUGCCCAUGAGCAGAAUGACAUGGUUUAGCUGUGUCCCCACACAAAUCUCACCUUGAAUUGUAAUAAUCCCCACGUCUCAUGGGAGGGAGCUGGUGGUAGGUAAUUGAAUCAUGGGAUGGGUCUUUCCCAUGCUGUUUUCAUGAUAGUAAAUAAGUCUCAUGAGAUCUGAUGGUUUACUAAAGGGUAGUUCCCAUGAACAAGCUCUCUCACCUGCUUCCAUGGAAGAUGUGAUUUUGCUUUUCAUUCACCUUCAGCCAUGAUUGUGAGGCCUCUUCAACCAUGGGGAGCUGUGAGUCACCCCACAAGGAUAAACUGUGCUGCACCACCAGAAUGUUUAUGCCAAGAAGUUUCUUGUAGCAUCCCCACUUUGGCAACCACUACUGUGUUAUCCUUGAGUAGGACAACAGUAAAGAACAGAAAAAUAGAAAGCACAACAAAGGACUCAUGUGAGAUACUCUUAAAGCACAUCCAGAGCUGAUUCACAACAACCAUGACUAGAGUAAAAAACAAACGAGAACAAUCACAUAAGAUGCCAUGCACAAGAAAAAAACAAACAACCCUAUCAAAAAGUGGGCAAAGGAUAUGAACAGACACUUCUCAAAAGAAGACAUUUAUGCAGCCAAUAAACAUAUGAAAAUAAGCUCAUCAUCACUGGUCAUUAGAGAAAUGCAAAUCAAAACCACGAUGAGAUAUCAUCUCACACCAGUUAGAAUGGCGAUCAUUAAAAAGUCAGGAAACAACAGAUGCUGGCAAGCAUGUGGAGAAAUAGGAAAGCUUUUACACUGUUGGUGGGAGUGU
rnacentral:lncRNA from 10 species